AUUGAACGCUGGCGGCAUGCCUUACACAUGCAAGUCGAACGGUAACAGGUCUUCGGAUGCUGACGAGUGGCGAACGGGUGAGUAAUACAUCGGAACGUGCCUAGUAGUGGGGGAUAACUACUCGAAAGAGUGGCUAAUACCGCAUGAGAUCUACGGAUGAAAGCAGGGGAUCGCAAGACCUUGUGCUACUAGAGCGGCUGAUGGCAGAUUAGGUAGUUGGUGGGAUAAAAGCUUACCAAGCCGACGAUCUGUAGCUGGUCUGAGAGGACGAUCAGCCACACUGGGACUGAGAAACGGCCCAGACUCCUACGGGAGGCAGCAGUGGGGAAUUUUGGACAAUGGGCGCAAGCCUGAUCCAGCAAUGCCGCGUGCAGGAUGAAGGCCUUCGGGUUGUAAACUGCUUUUGUACGGAACGAAAAGCCCUGAGUUAAUACCCUGGGGUCAUGACGGUACCGUAAGAAUAAGCACCGGCUAACUACGUGCCAGCCGCCGCAGUAA
rnacentral:rRNA from 1 species